CUACGGACGCUGCAGUGGGGAAUAUUGGACAAUGGGCGAAAGCCUGAUCCAGCAAUACCGCGUGAAUGAUGAAGGCCUUAGGGUUGUAAAGUUCUUUUAGUUGGAAAGAUAAUGACGGUACCAACAGAAAAAGCCCCGGCUAACUCCGUGCCAGCAGCCGCGGUAAGACGGAGGGGGCUAGCGUUGUUCGGAAUUACUGGGCGUAAAGGGAGCGUAGGCGGAUUAGUAAGUUGGGAGUGAAAGCCCGGGGCUUAACCUCGGAACUGCUUUCAAAACUGCUAGUCUUGAGUGAAGUAGGGGAUGAUGGAAUUCCUAGUGUAGAGGUGAAAUUCUUAGAUAUUAGGAGGAACACCGGUGGCGAAGGCGGUCAUCUGGACUUCAACUGACGCUGAGGCGCGAAAGCGUGGGGAGCAAACAGGAUUAGAUACCCGAGUAGUC
rnacentral:rRNA from 1 species